rnacentral:rRNA from 1 species
UUGGAGGGCAAGUCUGGUGCCAGCAGCCGCGGUAAUUCCAGCUCCAAUAGCGUAUAUUAAAGUUGUUGCAGUUAAAAAGCUCGUAGUUGAAUUUCGGGAUCAAUAUUUCGGUCAUGCCGUUGGUAUGCACUGUUAUCAUUGAUUUCUCACCUUCUAAAGAACCGUAAUGCCAUUAAUUUGGUGUUACGGGGAAUUAGGACUGUUACCUUGAAAAAAUUAGAGUGUUUAAAGCAGGCAUUUUUGCUUGAAUACAUUAGCAUGGAAUAAUAAAAUAGGACGGCAUGAUUCUAUUUUGUUGGUUUCUAGGAUCACCGUAAUGAUUAAUAGGGAUAGUUGGGGGCAUUAGUAUUCAAUUGUCAGAGGUGAAAUUCUUGGAUUUAUUGAAGACUAACUACUGCGAAAGCAUUUGCCAAGGAUGUUUUCAUUAAUCAAGAACGAAAGUUAGGGGAUCGAAGACGAUCAGAUACCGUCGUAGUCUUAACCAUAAACUAUGCCGACUAGGGAUCGGAUGAUGUUAAUUUUUUAAUGACUCAUUCGGCGCCUUACGGGAAAC